CCAUGCCUUACUAGAGGGGUCCAACCAACUUUGGAGCAGGCAGGGUGCCAUCCUGACAGAUGGACAGAAGGGGCAGCCAAGACACCAGGACAACAGAUCACCAGCUAACAGAGACAACUCACUAUGUUCAAAAGUAAAAGGAGGAAGAAGUAACUUACUGCUGAAGGGGCCUCUCUGUGACUGAGAUCCAAGGUAUAAUGAUAGCUGAUAAUAUUUGUGAGAGAUGGAGGCUCUUCAGUGAAGCUGCAUGAUGAAUCACUAAUAAAACCCAAUUAGCUGCUUAGAUGAUUCCCCUUACAGUCAUCACUCAGAGAAUGGAAAUCAUGAGAGCUGAGAGAGCAUCACAACUGGGUCUACCACAGUGGCAAGAGAGAAAAUAAUGCUGGAUCUUUGUGGAAGUCAUGAAGGACAGUAACAUAAGUGAGUGAAUUUUAGUAAAGGCUCUUUAAUGCACCUAUGCAGAGCUGAAAUCAAUGGGUGAUAAUACCUUAGAACAAAAUUAAAUCGUCAUAUAAGUGAAACUGUGGUGAGUAGCACAGUGAGGGGUACCAGUACAGGGGUGACUUGCCUACUGGAGGUAACAGCAUCAUGAUUAGAAGCAAUACUGCAGCUAGCGACAGCAGCCAGGAGUAGCAGCAAGGUGAGAGGGGGUGGUUCAUCAAUGAGUUUAUGAUUAGAGAUUGUGGCAGCUAGAAAUUGUGCUGAGAUGACGUCAAGGUACCUCUACAGGCACAGGCAUCAUUUUAUGAUAAAAGAUGUAUGAAAAUAUGUCUGCAUGCAUGCUAGGAUGGUACUGAGUACUGAAAAAAAGCUGUCACGUAUUGGAAAGGUACAACCUGGAGAAAUAUCUUUCAAUGUAGAUAAACAUAAAGUGAUAGGUACUGGGAAAAAACAAAGGGCAGCCAACUUACAAAAUGAUGGUCUUUGAGCUGAUGGUUUCCAUUCUGGAGCAAAAUCUUAGAAUUAUGACAGAUAGCUUAGCAUGCAGUAUUAGGAAAGCAAAUGAAAAGCUAGCAGUUAUUAGGUGAAGAACAGAAAACAAAGCAGAAUGAGAAGAAGUUCUCACCCUCCUAUAGGCAUCCGCUUACAGCCACCGAUGGGAGUCAGGAUGCUGAGCUAGAUGGGCUCUUGGUCUGACCCAGCAUGGCUGUUCUUCUGUUUUCAUGUUCACAGCUGGGUGAGAAAAUCAAAUCAAUGGUCUGAUGCCUACUGUUCUGCAGGGCUGUGCUUUCCGAUCAGAUAAACACUAGCUUGAUUUAUUGCUGCUUUGUUUUCCCCAAAUCGAUGCUGUGUCACUUUUCCUUUUAAUACAUAUGGAUUUGGCAAGAAAGGAACUGACUGUUGGGGGAUCACAGAGUUGUAGCUCCCUGGCCAGCUGAUGUCCAUCACAAACUGGCCCGAUAUCUGCAACAUCUAAAAGAAGUGCUACAGAAGUAUUGAAUUUUAGAGGCGUUUAUCCGACUAUGUGUUAAGAGCUAGCAACUUUUCUUUCUAACAACUGAAAGAGCGUUAGAUAAGAAAGUUAUGAAUGCUAAUCCAAUUUAUUUAUUGUAAAACCAAACAGAACUCUUGGUCUUUUUAACAGCUAACUUCCUUGAAACUCUGAAUGUGCCUUUACUGAGAAAUACAUUUUAAUAACGCAGGAGCACAGUGUCUAGACAGGAGACUUUCUAAUUUUCUUUUGCAUAAAUGAGUACAGUAUUCAUAAAAAUCUAGAUUGAGAGGGAAUACAUUAUGGCCUAAAACAUUUAGAAAGACUCUAUCUACCUAGCUCACAAAAGCUCAGCUAAUAAAUAUGAACUGUUUCAAUGAGAAUCAAUAUUAAUGACGAUUGGCUUUGUCCGGAUUUAUGCUUCAAGUGUAGUCACUUGUAUGCACUCCUUGACAUCUCAGGAGUGAGUGCAGGGUAAGUGGAGGAAUUAAUAGCAUCUUACUCUGUCUCUGCCUGUUUUCAUGAAACUUGCUGGAACUUACUGUCUUUGAUUCCCCUAGCACUUUGUUAAAUUUGUUUAAAUUUAUGCAGUAGGCCCAAAAGUUACCGGGAAGAGAAGGGUGGAUAGAUUUCGGCAGAACUUUGUAUAAGCUUCUUUCCUUGAGGAAACCAGGCUAAAAAACAGAGACGUUUCCUUAGAUUGCCUCAUUCCGAACGACCCUCUGAUGCAGAGAUUAUUCCUUAAAAACGUGGCAGAGAUGAUAGGAAUAUCAUAAGUACUUCUGUUCAUAUUCUUUCAUUUGCACUUGUUAGAUGGUAUUUGACUUCAUGAAUAGUCCCUCAGAGAGCAUGGUGGCAUCAACUGUUAGUAUAAGACACUGAGAACCUGCCUUAAUGAAAAGAGAAACAUGACUCUCUGCAGCUGUCUGAAUCAUAUCAAUAAAAAUGAGAUUUCAGGGGUGAAACCCUUGAACUGCUGAUGUAACUGGCAAAAUUCCUGAAGAUUUUUAA